rnacentral:rRNA from 1 species
CAAGUCGAGGGGUAUAGGUUUUCGGAUCUAGAGACCGGCGCACGGGUGCGUAACGCGUAUGCAAUCUACCUUUUACAGAGGGAUAGCCCAGAGAAAUUUGGAUUAAUACCUCAUAGUAUUAUGAAAUGGCAUCAUUUUAUAAUUAAAGUCACAACGGUAAAAGAUGAGCAUGCGUCCCAUUAGCUAGUUGGUAAGGUAACGGCUUACCAAGGCAACGAUGGGUAGGGGUCCUGAGAGGGAGAUCCCCCACACUGGUACUGAGACACGGACCAGACUCCUACGGGAGGCAGCAGUGAGGAAUAUUGGACAAUGGGCGCAAGCCUGAUCCAGCCAUGCCGCGUGCAGGAUGACGGUCCUAUGGAUUGUAAACUGCUUUUGUACGAGAAGAAACACUACUUCGUGAAGUAGCUUGACGGUAUCGUAAGAAUAAGGAUCGGCUAACUCCGUGCCAGCAGCCGCGGUAAUACGGAGGAUCCAAGCGUUAUCCGGAAUCAUUGGGUUUAAAGGGUCCGUAGGCGGUUUAGUAAGUCAGUGGUGAAAGCCCAUCGCUCAACGGUGGAACGGCCAUUGAUACUGCUAGACUUGAAUUAUUAGGAAGUAACUAGAAUAUGUAGUGUAGCGGUGAAAUGCUUAGAGAUUACAUGGAAUACCAAUUGCGAAGGCAGGUUACUACUAAUUGAUUGACGCUGAUGGACGAAAGCGUGGGUAGCGAACAGGAUUAGAUACCCUGGUAGUCCACGCCGUAACGAUGGAUACUAGCU